AUGAUGCAAGAAAGGCUGAGACAUGACUUGACAGUUCUUUUGUACAUUGUGAACCUCUCUGGUUUUGCAGGAAACUCAAAAGCCCGAUGCGAGGUUUUUAUGAUGGAUUUUUCCAAGGCAAAAAAUCCAUGGACUGGCUUCAUACCACCAGCACAGUUUAGGUUUUCCAUCGUGAGACUGAUGCUACCCUUGAGCCUGAAAAUGGCUGGCAAGAGACUUCUGGGUGACUGGAGGAGACUGUCACAGCAGUGCCUGUGGGGAGAUGCUGGAGUCACUCAGGCACAGCAAGUCCUUCUCUGAGCCAACUGAUCCUUGGCAGGUGGCAAACAGA
rnacentral:lncRNA from 1 species